UGGGGAAUUUUUGGCAAUGGGGGCAACCCUGACCAAGCAACGCCGCGUGGAUGAUGAAGUAUCUCGGUACGUAAAAUCCUUUCGACAGGGAAGAAACCCGCAAGGGUUGACGGUACCUGUAGAAGAAGCCCCGGCUAACUCCGUGCCAGCAGCCGCGGUAAUACGGGGGGGGCAAGCGUUGUUCGGAAUUACUGGGCGUAAAGGGCGCGUAGGCGGUUUGCUAAGUUGGACGUGAAAACUCUGGGCUUAACCCAGAGCCUGCAUCCAAAACUGGCAAGCUAGAGUAUUGGAGGGGGAAGCGGAAUUCCUGGUGUAGCAGUGAAAUGCGUAGAUAUCAGGAGGAACACCGGUGGCGAAGGCGGCUUCCUGGACAAUAACUGACGCUGAGGCGCGAAAGCUAGGGGAGCAAACAG
rnacentral:rRNA from 1 species